rnacentral:rRNA from 1 species
UACGUAGGGGGCAAGCGUUGUCCGGAAUUAUUGGGCGUAAAGCGCACGUAGGUGGUUUGUUAUGUCGGAUGUGAAAGCCCUCGGCUCAACUGAGGAAGUGCAUCCGAAACUGGCAAGCUAGAGUAUGUAAGAGGGUCGCGGAAUUCCCGGUGUAGAGGUGAAAUUCGUAGAUAUCGGGAGGAACACCGGUGGCGAAGGCGGCGACCUGGGACAAUACUGACACUGAGGUGCGAAAGCGUGGGGAGCAAACAGG